CUCCUGUUCACCAAUCUGUACAAUCAAAGUAGGGGAAUGACGUAUGUGUGGAUGCUGGGCCACAAUCUCAAAGUGACAAAGCUAGUUCCCCGGACCCUUUUGCUAAUUUACCGGUUUUAAGGGCACGAUGUCAAUUGUUCUUAGAAGAUCCAAUUAGACGUCCAGUGGCAUAUGGGACAGCUUACAGUGGUGCACAGGUUCAUGGGGUUGUACUGGAUGUAAAUCAAGUGAAGGUGAGCGUAAAUCAAGUUAUUGAUCCAAGUGCACAUGUACCAAUCCCCACCAGUGAGGUUCGGCUUCUAGGUGCUGCAUUUCAACACUUUAUUAUUUGGCCAAAGAAGCUGGUAGAGUUAUGUACUGAAGCUGAUGCGUUAAAAGAAAAGACCAAAUUAACUUUUCAAUCGGUUG